rnacentral:rRNA from 1 species
UACAGAGGUCUCAAGCGUUGUUCGGCUUCAUUGGGCGUAAAGAGCGUGUAGGCGGUCCGGUAAGUCCGCUGUGAAAGUCGGGGGCUCAACCCUCGAAUGCCGGUGGAUACUGUCGGGCUAGAGUGCGGAAGAGGCGAGUGGAAUUCCUGGUGUAGCGGUGAAAUGCGCAGAUAUCAGGAGGAACACCUAUUGCGAAGGCAGCUCGCUGGGACGUAACUGACGCUGAGACGCGAAAGCGUGGGGAGCAAACAGG